UACGUAGGGGGCUAGCGUUGUCCGGAAUCACUGGGCGUAAAGGGCGCGUAGGCGGCCUGAUAAGUAGGGGUGAAAUCCUGCGGCUUAACCGCAGGGCUGCCUUCUAAACUGUCAGGCUUGAGCAGCAGUAGAGGCAGGUGGAAUUCCCGGUGGUAGCAAGUGAAAUGCGUAGAGAUCGGGAGGAACAUCAGUUGCGAAGGCGGCUCUCUGGACCAGCACUGACACUGGAGGCACGGAAAGCGUGGGGAGCAAACAGG
rnacentral:rRNA from 1 species